UAGAUAAUUGUUAUCGAAAUCAACCGGUCCCGUCUUCUAGACAGUAAGUUGACUGCGAGUUGUGAGCUUAGAUCAUAUACUGUAGUAUAGUGAGUGUUGUGACUCUUGAUAGUUAAAUAGUUAAAUCGAAAAAAAAUAAUGGGAAUGAAAUUCCAUAAGUCCGUAGAAACUUAGAUAUAAGACAAAAGUGAUAUGCCAGUACUAUAACGUUUCGCAUAAAAAAAUACUUCACUAUGUUUCUGUACUUGAGCAAAAAAAUCGCUAUACCGAACAAUACAAAAAUCAACUGUCUUGAAUGGAAUUCUAGUCAGGAUUGCAUAGCGGUGGGUGGAGACGAUGGUCUUUUGAAAGUGUUGAAAAUCGAUUCCGGUACACCGGCAGAUGGUAAGCCCAGAGGACUAGCAGGCCAGGCCAAUCUAUCAAUAAACAAAACUCUCGAGGGUCAUUCUGGUAAUGUGUUGACUAUUGUGUGGAAUGAAAAAUACAAUAAACUGACUUCAAGCGAUGAAAAUGGGCUGAUUAUAGUAUGGACAUUGUAUAAGGGAACAUGGCAAGAAGAAAUGAUCAAUAACCGUAAUAAAUCAGUCGUUAAAGGUAUGGCAUGGAAUGGGGAUGGCGAAAAAAUUUGCAUUGUCUAUGAGGAUGGAGCUGUUAUUGUUGGUUCAGUUGAAGGUAGUCGUAUCUGGGGCAAAGAAUUAAAAAAACUUAUGUUAACAGGCGUCCAAUGGUCUCCAAAUUCAAAAUUCCUUCUGUUUACCAUAAAAACUGGUGAAGUUCAUUUGUUUGACAGUGAUGGCAAUUUCAUAUCAAAAUUGGGCAUAGUGUGUUUACCUAUAUCUCUUAAUAAUGUGCCAAUUACUGCCUGUCAUUGGCUUGACAAAAAUAUGAAUGACUGCCCACAAUUGGCAAUUGCAUACAAAACAGGACAUGUACAAUUGAUGAGAGACCAAUAUGAUAUGAAUCCAAUAAUUUUUGAAUGCGAUAUGUCGAUUGUGGCUAUUAAAUGGAACCAUAAUGGCAGUGUUCUGGCGUUGGUUGGUACAUUAAUAGUUGAUGGUGAUGUUAAAGAAUCCAAUGUGCUUCAACUUUAUUCACCUUUUGGAGAACAUUUGAGAACCCUUAGAAUUCCUGGUUAUAUGGUGUCAUCUUGUUGUUGGGAAAGCACGUCUUUGCGCAUCACUUUAGCCAUUGACAGUUUUGUUUACUUUGCUAAUGUGCGAUAUGAUUAUCCUUGGUGUUAUUUUGCCAGUACAAUCGUCUAUGCUUUUAGAAAUUACGAAGAAGGUGUUACAGAGAUUACGUUUUGGAAUAUAAAAAAAAAUGAAUUUUAUCACACAAAAUAUGAUUCAUUGUUAUGUAUGGAUGCUUAUAAAGAUCAUUGUGUUCUUGCUGUACGAAAUAAUAAUGAUGAAUCCAAACCUUAUACUCUUAUUAUUUGCAAUAAUAUAAACACUACGGUUGAUUCCAAACACAUUAAUUUUGAACCGAUAUGGAUUGCAAUGAAUGGGACUCUUGUAGUCGUUUCUUCACACACAAGCUUUAUGACUUGGCAAUAUGCUGUUCCUAAAUCACAUUCUGCAUCCAUAACCAACAUUAAGCGUAAAAAAGUGAAAAUGUUUCAUGUUGAUGAUACUCCUUCUGGUGUUGAUGAACUCACUCAAGAAUCUAGGGAAUUCAAAAGCUCGUCAUUUCAGAAAGAAACCAAGGAUCGUAUAACUUGUAUAACAGCGAGUGAUAAAUAUUUGUUGAUUGGUAGAGAGAGUUGUGCUUUGCAACAAUAUUCAUUGCCUCAAGUAGCUUUGGUGGAAAGAAAAAUGCUGUCCUCUAAACCUUAUAAAUUGGCAUUGAAUUCAAAUUCUAAGCGAUUGGCUAUCAUUGAUUCAACUGGAGUAUUAACUUUUGUUGAGAUAUCAGAUGAUAAUGUUGUAAAGGAGUCAACUAAUUCAGAAGCUUUGAAUUCAUUCCAAAGACGAGAUGUAUGGACUAUGAAGUGGGCAUCAGACGAUCCUGAGCUCUUAGCAAUUAUGGAGAAAACUAGAAUGUAUGUCAUUAGAGGGUUUAACCCUGAAGAACCAAUUAGUACUUCAGCCUAUAUCGCUUCUUUUGAAAAUUUAGAAAUUCAAGCAGUUAUGUUAGACGAAAUUAUUCAGUCUCCAGAAAACCCUUCUCUUGAUUAUGUUGUCACUUUGGAAACAAAAUCAUUGCGAGACACAAGACAACUUUUGGAUAAAGUUAGCAUUGGAGAAGCAAUUCAAUUUAUUAAUGAUAAUCCUCAUCCAAGGCUAUCGAGAUUAUUAGCUGAAGCGGCAUUGCAAGCUUUAGACCUUUCGACAAGUGAAACUGCAUUUGUACAAUGUAAAGACUAUUAUGGCAUCAAACUAGUUAAACAAUUAGCUAACAUAAAUGAUACCCUUUUAAAACAAGCUGAAGUAGCUGUAUAUUUUGGAGAUUAUGUGAAAGCUGAACAACUAUAUAUUGAAGCUGAUCGAAAAGAUUUGGCUGUGAUUCUAUACCAGAAACUUGGUAAUUGGUUUAAGGUUGUUGAACUUUUAAAAUCAAGUUCUUCACUUCUGGGAAUUUCCGGCCUCACAAUGAAUUUAGCAUGGCAAGGAAUUGGUGAUCAUUUCCUAGAUAAUCAACAAUGGGAUAUGGCUGUUGAAUACUAUAAAAAAGCUGAUAAUCCAGAAAAGCUAGUUGAAUGUUAUAUAAUACUCAAGGAUUACGAAUCAUUAGCAUCUCUUGCUAAAAGUCUGCCAGAACACCAUCCAUUAUUGGAAACAAUUUCAGUGUUUUUUGUUAAUAGUGGAAUGGUUGAAGACGAGUCUAUAAAUCAAAAGUUUUCAAAAGCAACAAUGACGAGUAUUGAAUUUGAUACUGGCAAAUUAAAUGAACAUAUGAUAUCUAUAAAUGAUACAAAUCGUGAUCAGUGGUUAGAUAAUAUUAAAAACGUGUUGACAAUGGUUUCCAAAUGUAUAAACGGAGAACGAUAUACAGAAGCUGCCCAAUUAGUAUUUGCUAUUGUUUAUCAAGAAAUAAAUUCUGAUAUACAACCAAACGUUAUAAAGCAGUUGGCUACAGCUGGUGCACUAUUGAUUGAAGAGUACAAAGAGAAAAACAUUCAAUCCACCCUGUUAGAUGCCAAAGAAAUUGUAAUAGACAAUUUUGAAAUCAAGCCAUUUAAAUCACGUGCUGAAAUUAUAGAAAACAGUUGGCAUAUUGUUGAAUCUAUACAUUUUUUAAUACUCGCCCAACAACAACUGUACAAUGGAGACUUUCAUUUAGCUAUAUGGACAUCAUUAACGCUUCGCAACUACGAAAACUUGUUAAACACAGAACAAAUAUACUCAAUUAUAGCAUUGGCAGCAAUAGCAAAUGGUUUGUUUAAUAUCGCGUCUAGAGCUUUCAUGAAACUUGAAACUUUAGAUUCAGUAAAAAAAAAAUUACCAUCAAUUGUCAUUAAUCAUAUUUAGUAAGUAUGCUCCUAAAGACUCUAAUCCAUUAUUCAUUCAAUGUUACAGUUGUUUGGACGACUUUCCAGCUUGGUCCUUGAAAUGCCCAAAAUGUAAAAUCAAACCAGAAGCCAGUAUUGUUACGGGUCAACCACUGACAGACAUCAAAUCUCUUUGGUGUUGCAGACAAUGCAAACGUAGUGCAACUACCAUAGAUAUGGGUCCAUUGAAUUACUGUCCAUUGUGUAGGAAAGAGGUUAUUCUUUCAUUUUAAAUUAUUUCACUUCUCAUGUUAUGAUUGCACGUUACACUUUCAAGUCAAGAUUUGUACACAAAUUGUUUUGCUAUUGAAACUAAUUCCGUCCUUUUUACACUUAAACGUGCACUAUGAUAAGACUGAGCAAAAUAUACUCGUGAGUAAGAUAUAUAUUUAUUAAAUAAAUAACAAUAUAUUCAAACAAGUUUAUAAGUGUAUAAUAAUAUAUUUUAAAUU